rnacentral:rRNA from 1 species
ACAGUGUCUGGUGGGUAGUUUGACUGGGGCGGUCUCCUCCUAAAGAGUAACGGAGGAGCACGAAGGUUGGCUAAUCCUGGUCGGACAUCAGGAGGUUAGUGCAAUGGCAUAAGCCAGCUUGACUGCGAGCGUGACGGCGCGAGCAGGUGCGAAAGCAGGUCAUAGUGAUCCGGUGGUUCUGAAUGGAAGGGCCAUCGCUCAACGGAUAAAAGGUACUCCGGGGAUAACAGGCUGAUACCGCCCAAGAGUUCAUAUCGACGGCGGUGUUUGGCACCUCGAUGUCGGCUCAUCACAUCCUGGGGCUGAAGUAGGUCCCAAGGGUAUGGCUGUUCGCCAUUUAAAGUGGUACGCGAGCUGGGUUUAGAACGUCGUGAGACAGUUCGGUCCCUAUCUGCCGUGGGCGCUGGAGAACUGAGGGGGGCUGCUCCUAGUACGAGA